GUGCAAAUCAAGUGGGGGAAUCCAGCUGCUUCUAUGGACCCGAGACGUGGGAGCCGCUAUCGCCAUCUGCUGGUUUCUUCUAGAACUGCCGGCUCCCCUAGGCAGGUAACUGCUCUCAUCUCCUCUGGUGAAGCCUUCAGGACACAGAAUCCGGGAUUUCAUGGCUGAGAGGGAAGCACAUAAACAAAGACAGGAAAACAAAGGAUUCCCUUGAAAAGUGCGAAUUGGUGCUAAAGUCAAGGCCAAAAUCUGUGGCCUGCGUGCUUUGGAGACCAGCCCUCCCCUUCUAUCAGAAACUGGCAGAUGAUCAUCUUUGCCUGUUAAUCCAAUCCUGGAGGAGGAAAAACAUCCCAAUGAUGGUGCCAGAGUCUCAGUCCCAUGGCAGUGCCCCAUCACCGCCAAGGACGAAAUGCAUGAGGGUGACCAACACAGUCCCCGAGAGGCGAGCCCUGGUUCCUGACACAGGCACAUGCAUUGUGGGCAGACCUGAGAGUGUGUCAACACCUUACUGAUCCGGGAAAGCAGCUGUAGAAGCCACACCUGGCUGGAGUGACUUGAGGACACAAGAGUUCUGGAUGUGAGGAGGUGGAUACUGUGAGCCAGACAGCUGGGGUGCCAGGAGAGAGGUCAGCGUGGAGGCUGAUGCUGGUGAGAAUGACAGAGGGAGCAGCCUUUAAUAAAUAUUGAUGAAGAACUGAUAAAUGAACGAAUUAAUGAGCCAAAUGUUAUUCCCAUGUGUGCUGUUGUCUGCCCCGCAGGAUGCAGCACGCAUCAUAAUAAUGAGCUGCACACAGAGGGAUGGGAAAUGGCGCCAACACACCAAUCUGCUCCCAUCUCUGAGCUACA
rnacentral:lncRNA from 1 species